ACUCGUCAGCAUGGCAUAGCCGGUUUGCCUCAGUUAAACUUCAUCAGCAAAAAAACUGCAGGGUGACUUCGACUCGAACGAAGUGCUUUAACCAUUUGUGCGGAUCACAAAUAAUCCAUGUGGGAUCUAGAGCUGCGACCGGGCUAGGGUGAUGCCAAUUGUGCGGAUCACAAAUAAAUCCACAAUAAGUCCACAAUAAGUGAAUGGCUGAAUCAUUAUGUCUGGAAGCGAGGUGAAUGUUUACAGACACAUAAAAAAAGAAUUCUAUAGCUUUCAAGACUUGUUGCUGUCGUAGCGAGGUCGCCUGAAGCGACCGAGCGGAGACAGCAACUCUAAUUAAUGAAAUGCGGGCUUCGAAGGACAAACUAGGCGCGCGAGCGUUCCUGGUCACACUUUGAAGUGUGACCAGCCUGCUUUGCGCGGUUGCAAUCGUAAGUGCGCAUGCGCAUGAGAAACAAGAUCAAGAUGGCGGUCAUUAAUCACACGGACAAUAUUGGCAGUUAUAUUGGAAGGGAAAGCAUCUUCAACUAUAACGAAGCUUCUUAAGGCAUUAAAGAUGUGACACCCUUAAUGGGGAGUUUUCAAUUAUUAUAGUCUUCAAAGAACAAGAGGAGCUAUUAAAGAAAUGAAAUGCUUAUGGAAAUGUUAGGAACAGAGAAUACAUAUAAGAAAGCUGUUAUGAUGCAUUUGAAGCAUAUCGAACCACUAAUACACAACAUGGUCAUCACAAAGUAAAAAUGCUGUUUUCUGACAAACUGAACCCUAACAACUGAACAUUGUUGUUUAUGAUAAAUUUGAUCCCCUCCAACAUUGUGCAUACAAAGACACAAAUUCCAAAUCAAAUGGAGAUGGCUAAUUGAGCAUGCAGUAUUCAAAAUUAAUCUGAUGAUGUUGCCCAGCAUUGUAUAGAAAAAGCCACAAAUACUACAUGAAUAGCUAACAGUACCAGAACUGUAGAAGCACUGUUUUAUUUUGAUGCUGCCAGACUUUGAAAGAGAACCUUUCUUUCAGUACAGUUAAUACUUCUGUUUCAAGUUUAUAUCAACUGCAACUGCAUUCAACAAAAUUGAAGAAAAGCAAAGCCCUUUCCACAAAAUCUUAAAUAAAGAGCAAUUAAAUAGUAAAAAAAUAAAAUAAAAUAAAAUUGCUAUGAUAAAACUA